CUCGGAUAGAAGCCAUUAACAUUUCCCCGUCAGGUGGUAGCAUUGUGCCAAGCUCCAUUUCUAUUGGAUGACCCUAAUGUCGGGCUUUUAUUCCCAGCAGAUGUCAUUGCAAGAGCUAAACAUUAUCUUUCAUUGAAUUCGGGUGGUUUAGGUGCAUAUAGUGAUUCUCGAGGACUUCCUGGAAUUAGGAAAGAA